GACGAACGCUGGCGGCGUGCUUAACACAUGCAAGUCGAGCGGUAAGGCCCUUUCGGGGGUACACGAGCGGCGAACGGGUGAGUAACACGUGAGCAAUCUGCCCUUCACUUCGGGAUAACCACCGGAAACGGUGGCUAAUACCGGAUAUGACCAUCGGUUGCAUGACCUGGUGGUGGAAAGUUCUGGCGGUGGAGGAUGAGCUCGCGGCCUAUCAGCUUGUUGGUGGGGUAAUGGCCUACC
rnacentral:rRNA from 1 species